rnacentral:tmRNA from 1 species
GGGACUGUCUGGUUUCGACAUGUUAAUUUUACAUCAUAGAGUCAAGAUAGAUAUAAUGUAUGUUUUGAUUUUUAUAUCAUAGCGUAUUAAAAAUAAAUGCAAAAAAUCAUAUAGUUACUUUUUCUCAAAAAAAAGCAUAUAUUUAUUAAAUUCAUAAAUAUAUAAUUUUAUCUUGAGUGUCAGAUAUUAUUCCUGUGUAUAUUUCUGAUUAUUAUAAAUUGCAGUACUCCUAAUUUAUUCUUUUACAUUUUGUUUGAAUUUAGGUAAAGCUUAAAACAAUGUAAAUACUUUUUUCUCGCUGUUUUUAUUAUCUAUUAUCUUUGAGAUAGCUCUCUAGAAUAUUAAUUAACAUGGACGUGGGUUCGAAUCCCACCAGUUCCA